GAUGAACGCUGGCGGCGUGCCUAAUACAUGCAAGUCGAGCGAACAGACGAGGAGCUUGCUCCUCUGACGUUAGCGGCGGACGGGUGAGUAACACGUGGAUAACCUACCUAUAAGACUGGGAUAACUUCGGGAAACCGGAGCUAAUACCGGAUAAUAUCUUGAACCGCAUGGUUCAAUAGUGAAAGACGGUUUUGCUGUCACUUAUAGAUGGAUCCGCGCCGCAUUAGCUAGUUGGUAAGGUAACGGCUUACCAAGGCGACGAUGCGUAGCCGACCUGAGAGGGUGAUCGGCCACACUGGAGCGGAGACACGGUCCAGACUCCUACGGGAGGCAGCAGUAGGGAAUCUUCCGCAAUGGGCGAAAGCCUGACGGAGCAACGCCGCGUGAGUGAUGAAGGUCUUCGGAUCGUAAAACUCUGUUAUUAGGGAAGAACAAAUGUGUAAGUAACUAUGCACGUCUUGACGGUACCUAAUCAGAAAGCCACGGCUAACUACGUG
rnacentral:rRNA from 1 species